GCGGCGGCGGCGGCGGCGGCGGCGGCGGCGGCAAGAGGGCGCGGGCGGCGCCGAGCGUGCGUCUGGCCCAGCGCACAGCUCCCUCUGCAGGAGCGCCGCCCGGCCCCGCGGCCCCCGACUUCCCUCCGCCGGGCCCUUCGCCGCUGCCGCGCCCGCGGGGCCUCCCUGCAGGAGAACCAGUAACGGGGUUCUGCCUAUUAAUUCAUCCCCCCGUCCUCCCGUUCGCGGCCCGGGUGGGGGCGGCGUGGAGGCCCGGCCUCUCCUCGGCCGAGUGCGCAGAGGGCCUGCGGGGGACUGAUCGCCAGUGCCCGCGACCGGGCUCAGGGGAGGGAAUAGGGCUCCUGAUGGCCGAGAGGGAACCACACGCCCCUGCACUCCGACACCCCCGGUGCGCGCUGGCGGUGGGGCCCCCGGAUUCCGGAGGUGCACUGCGUGCUGUGUAGGUAUGUCUUCUGGUCUGGCUUUCUGGGCCACCAGGAAGAAGUUUUGUGGCCCCCGUCAUCGGAGCUGUGGUGUGUACCCAGUGUGUUUUGUAUUCCUGGCUUCUUAAAAGUCCUGGGAGGAAGGCUGAUAUGCUGGCGCCCAGCUCCUCGGGGCCCAGACAACGCCAUGCGCUCCGGCUAGAGUCUGUGCGCCUGCAGUGACAGCGCUGAGAGGACGACGCGAUGGCACCCACUCCCGUCACGGCCACACCGCCAUCGUUCACUCCCCGGGUUUGCCGGGUACUUGAUAAAAUGAGUCGUGCGCUUUCAUCCUCCCAGCAGAGCCCAUUUCACAGAUGAGGAGCAGGAAGCUCAGCAGCUCUGAGAGAAUUCGUGCCAAGUCAUCGCACAACUAAGAUGCAAAUUCAUCAGUCGACUGCAAAGUCCGUAAUUUACUUCGUCCACGGAAAGUGAAGACAAAGGAAGUAAUUGAACCAUCUAAGGAAGGCAAGGAUUACCUCCCGAAUAAAUAAACCGGAGCGCUCUUUAAGCCCUGUCACUGCACACUGUUUACGGGGAAGUUACAGAAUGAACUCCGUGAGAACACACGCUCUAACCUGGGACCCAAGGUGCCCGGAGAUGGGGGGGGGGGAUGGUAAAGGCAUAGGAGGACCCCCAGGGAAGCCUGCAGCUCCCCCUCUAUCUCCUGACCCCGAACUUUGUACCCCACUCCGUUCACCAGAGCCACCUGGCAGGUAGGGGUCACUUACAGCUCCCUAACUGUCUCAGCCCCACUGCCAGUUCUUGCCAAGUCAUGGGAGACCACCACAGAGCCGUCUUUCAAGUGAUUUCGGGUACGCGCACAAGGAGGCUUGACCAAGGGGUCCUGUCAAAUGGAAGAAAACAGAGAUGAGAAAGGGGGAGACACCACUUCUUUCCUCAGCAUUGAUUCUGGCAAUGGCAGGCACCUGCAGAUCGCCACAGGCCACCCCAACGGUGGGAGCAUGGAGAAAGCAUGGCUUCGGACAGUCACUAACCUCUCGGUAACAUCACCUUUCCUUUUUCAUCUCCCAGGCCAUCCCACUUGUCUAGCACAUUUCUUAUAUUAAAAUCUCUCUG